GCGUUGGUGGUGCGACGGUUAGCAUACGCUCCCGGAAAGAGUGAGAUCUGGGUUCGAAUCCCGGAUGACGCA